CAUGUAGGCGGUUUACUAAGUCGGACGUGAAAGCUCCUGGCUCAACUAGGAGAGGUCGUUCGAAACUAGUAGACUAGAGGGUGGUAGAGGAGAGCGGAAUUCCAGGUGUAGCGGUGAAAUGCGUAGAUAUCUGGAGGAACACCAGUGGCGAAAGCGGCUCUCUGGCCCACUCCUGACGCUGAGAUGCGAAAGCCAGGGGAGAGAACG
rnacentral:rRNA from 1 species